AUUGAACGCUGGCGGCAGGCCUAACACAUGCAAGUCGAGCGGAUGAAGGGAGCUUGCUCCUGGAUUCAGCGGCGGACGGGUGAGUAAUGCCUAGGAAUCUGCCUGGUAGUGGGGGAUAACGUCCGGAAACGGGCGCUAAUACCGCAUACGUCCUGAGGGAGAAAGUGGGGGAUCUUCGGACCUCACGCUAUCAGAUGAGCCUAGGUCGGAUUAGCUAGUUGGUGGGGUAAAGGCCUACCAAGGCGACGAUCCGUAACUGGUCUGAGAGGAUGAUCAGUCACACUGGAACUGAGACACGGUCCAGACUCCUACGGGAGGCAGCAGUGGGGAAUAUUGGACAAGGGGCGAAAGCCUGAUCCAGCCAUGCCGCGUGUGUGAAGAAGGUCUUCGGAUUGUAAAGCACUUUAAGUUGGGAGGAAGGGCAGUAAGUUAAUACCUUGCUGUUGUGACGUUACCAACAGAAUAAGCACCGGCUAACUUCG
rnacentral:rRNA from 1 species